GACGUAGGGGGCCAGCGUUGUUCGGAAUUACUGGGUGUAAAGGGUUCGUAGGCGGUGCGGCAAGUUGGGAGUGAAAUCUCUGGGCUCAACCCAGAGGCUGCUUCCAAAACUGCUGUGCUUGAGUGUGAGAGAGGCGCGUGGAAUUGCAGGUGUAGCGGUGAAAUGCGUAGAUAUCUGCAGGAACACCCGUGGCGAAAGCGGCGAGCUGGAUCACAACUGACGCUGAGGAACGAAAGCUAGGGGAGCAAACAGG
rnacentral:rRNA from 1 species